rnacentral:lncRNA from 1 species
CUCGUUUCUCUCGGCUUUGGCGUUCACAGCUAUUCUUUGCUCCCUCCCUGGAGCCUGGAGGAGUUUCCACAGCGAUUCAGAGGAAUACGAGGACUCCGACAGCGAAAGCGAGGACCCCUUCACUUCUCAUCAGGACUCCAAACGUUUCCUCCAAUGGCAACCCUGGUUAUGAGAACCUGUGUUUGAGUGACAGGCAGUCCCCACCCCCCUCUUACUCUCCCAGCAUGCUGACUGGCUACGGCGGCAGUCAAUCACACUCCAACCCGUCCCAUUCAAGAAACCUGUACUCGCACUAAUUAUUUUUCUGUACAGUAGAAAAGAAAGAUAUAGAGCAAGGUUUAGUUUUCAUAUGGAUGGGACACUUUAUGAGACGAGAGACUAAUUUAAAACUCUAGAUGUUAAAUAUCUGUGUGUAACGUUAGUACCAUUGAGUCAUUUGGGUGUAACAGACAGAAAAAGCGUGUGCGUCAUAUAUAGUCGUCCGAUCCUAUCACUUCCUCUCCCUCUAGUGUCAUGCUGUACAUAGCUGGUGGAAACAAGAUGGUAUUGACGUUACAGUAGUGGUCUAUAUUUAAAUGUAUAACCACUUUAUUUUGGAGGUUUUAUAUUGUUACAUGUAGUCACAGAUACGUAGUGGCGAUGGCACAAUUUCUUUGUAUGAUUAUGCAGUUUUUUCUUCACCUUUCUUUCUUUUUUUUUAAUAUUUGACAGGACCCUAUUUUAUAAGUGGCAAUUCUGUAUUACCUUGUAUGCCCUCUGAUAUAAUAUGAUUAUUUAUUUAUAUAAUAUAAAUAUAUGAAUAUAUAUAUUCACUGUAUAAACGUUUGAUUGUUAAUGCAUUUUGAUGAUCAAAGAAAAAAAAAUCUGUAAAACAUUGUUGAGGGGCUAGUGUCCGUUUCCUCUGCUGGCUCUGAGCAAUACAACUGCGUUUUGCCAUUUGCAAUGCAAUGGCCACAAUGUAAGCAGCAAUAAUCAUCGGGACAUCUUGCAAAAACCGUCUGUGUGUGUCAGAGGUUCUCAUGACAUGUUCAGUAUAUACCGUCUAUAUAUAUAUAUAUA